UUACGCGCGCCUUUAUUCACCACGCCCAAUUGAGGUCGCCCUUUUGAAGCUCGCCUUUAUUUACGCGCGCCUUUAUUCGCCGCGCCCAAUUGAGGUAGCCCUUUUGAAGCUCGCCUUUAUUUACGCGCGCCUUUAUUCGCUGCGCCCAACUAAGGUCGCCCUUUUGAAGCUCGCCUUUAUUUACGCGCGCCUUUAUUCGCCGCGCCCAAUUGAGGUCGCCCUUUUGAAGCUC